CUUCCGUAGGUGAACCUGCGGAGGGAUCAUUACCGAGUUUACAACUCCCAAACCCAAUGUGAACGUUACCAAACUGUUGCCUCGGCGGGGUCACGCCCCGGGUGCGUCGCAGCCCCGGAACCAGGCGCCCGCCGGAGGAACCAACCAAACUCUUUACUGUAGUCCCCUCGCGGACGUUUUUACUUACAGCUCUGAGCAAAAAUUCAAAAUGAAUCAAAACUUUCAACAACGGAUCUCUUGGUUCUGGCAUCGAUGAAGAACGCAGCGAAAUGCGAUAAGUAAUGUGAAUUGCAGAAUUCAGUGAAUCAUCGAAUCUUUGAACGCACAUUGCGCCCGCCAGUAUUCUGGCGGGCAUGCCUGUCCGAGCGUCAUUUCAACCCUCGAACCCCUCCGGGGGGUCGGCGUUGGGGAUGCGGGAACCCCUAAGACGGGAUCCCGGCCCCGAAAUACAGUGGCGGUCUCGCCGCAGCCUCUCCUGCGCAGUAGUUUGCACAACUCGCACCGGGAGCGCGGCGCGUCCACGUCCGUAAAACACCCAACUUUCUGAAAUGUUGACCUCGGAUCAGGUAGGAAUACCCGCUGAACUUAAGCAUAUCAAUAAGCGGAGGAA
rnacentral:rRNA from 1 species